GUGUCAGCAGCCGCGGUAAUACGUAGGGGGCAAGCGUUGUUCGGAAUUACUGGGCGUAAAGGGCGCGUAGGCGGCACAGCAAGUCGGGAGUGAAAGCCCGGGGCUCAACCCCGGAAUGGCUUUCGAAACUGCUGAGCUAGAGUACAGAAGGGGCAACCGGAAUUCCCAGUGUAGCGGUGAAAUGCGUAGAUAUUGGGAAGAACACCUGAGGCGAAGGCGGGUUGCUGGGCUGAUACUGACGCUGAGGCGCGAAAGCCAGGGGAGCAAACGGGAUUAGAUACCCCCGUAGUCC
rnacentral:rRNA from 1 species